rnacentral:rRNA from 1 species
UACAGAGGUCCCGAGCGUUGUCCGGAAUUAUUGGGCGUAAAGCGCGCGUAGGCGGCUACUUAAGUCGGAUGUGAAAGCCCCUGGCUCAACUGGGGAAGUGCACCCGAAACUGAGUGGCUUGAGUGCGAAAGAGGGUCGCGGAAUUCCCGGUGUAGAGGUGAAAUUCGUAGAUAUCGGGAGGAACACCGGUGGCGAAGGCGGCGACCUGGGUCGACACUGACGCUGAGGCGCGAAAGCGUGGGGAGCAAACAGG